rnacentral:pre_miRNA from 1 species
GGGGCCAUUGAUGGAUCAUAUGGUAAGAGCAUGUUUAGUGUUGCAAGAAACCACCAAACUAUUUUCCAAAGUGGCUGUGCCAUUUUGUAUUCCCAUCAACAAU